GUCGUUGUAGUAUAGUGGUGAGUAUUUCCGCCUGUCACGCGGACGACCUGGGUUCGAUCCCCGGCAACGGCG
rfam:Selaginella moellendorffii unplaced genomic scaffold SELMOscaffold_108, whole genome shotgun sequence.